GAUGAACGCUGGCGGCGUGCCUAACAUAUGCAAGUCGAGCGAUCUUCUUCGGAAGAGAGCGGCGGACGGGUGAGUAACGCGUGGGUAACCUGCCCUGUACACACGGAUAACAUACCGAAAGGUAUGCUAAUACGAGAUAAUAUGCUUUUAUCGCAUGGUAGAAGUAUCAAAGCUCCGGCGGUACAGGAUGGACCCGCGUCUGAUUAGCUAGUUGGUAAGGUAACGGCUUACCAGGGCGACGAUCAGUAGCCGACCUGAGAGGGUGAUCGGCCACAUUGGAACUGAGACACGGUCCAAACUCCUACGGGAGGCAGCAGUGAGGAAUAUUGCACAAUGGGCGAAAGCCUGAUGCAGCAACGCCGCGUGAGCGAUGAAGGCCUUCGGGUCGUAAAGCUCUGUCCUCAAGGAAGAUAAUGACGGUACUUGAGGAGGAAGCCCCGGCUAACUACGUGCCAGCCGCCGCGGUAA
rnacentral:rRNA from 1 species